GACGAACGCUGGCGGCGUGCUUAACACAUGCAAGUCGAACGGAAAGGCCCUGCUUUUGUGGAGUGCUCGAGUGGCGAACGGGUGAGUAACACGUGAGUAACCUGCCCUUGACUUUGGGAUAACUUCAGGAAACUGGGGCUAAUACCGGAUAGGAGCUCCUGCUGCAUGGUGGGGGUUGGAAAGUUUCGGCGGUUGGGGAUGGACUCGCGGCUUAUCAGCUUGUUGGUGGGGUAGUGGCUUACCAAGGCUUUGACGGGUAGCCGGCCUGAGAGGGUGACCGGCCACAUUGGGACUGAGAUACGGCCCAGACGCCUACGGGAGGCAGCAGUGGGGAAUAUUGCACAAUGGGCGGAAGCCUGAUGCAGCAACGCCGCGUGCGGGAUGACGGCCUUCGGGUUGUAAACCGCUUUCGCCUGUGACGAAGCGUGAGUGACGGUAAUGGGUAAAGAAGCACCGGCUAACUACGUG
rnacentral:rRNA from 1 species